UACAGAGGUCCCAAGCGUUGUUCGGAUUCACUGGGCGUAAAGGGUGCGUAGGCGGUUGGGUAAGUCUGAUGUGAAAUCUCACAGCUUAACUGUGAAACUGCAUUGGAUACUAUCCGGCUAGAGGAAUGGCGGGGAGACUGGAAUACUUGGUGUAGCAGUGAAAUGCGUAGAUAUCAAGUGGAACACCAGUGGCGAAGGCGAGUCUCUGGACAUUUCCUGACGCUGAGGCACGAAAGCCAGGGGAGCAAACGGG
rnacentral:rRNA from 1 species